UAGAAAUAGCCUAAGCUACUCUAUCCCUUUGAGAUGUAUUUAUUGCUUAUCUCAAUAAACAUACUUGAACUUGAACCUAACCUAACCUAGUCUAACCUAACCUUAUAAUGUGCAUUGGACUUACACCCAUUCUCUAACACUCCUCAGGUAUAACAAGCCUAUAAGCAUGCAAGAAUUAGAUGUCCGCGAGCCCCUCUUCCCUAGAACCUCCCUGACCACCAGGACCUCAUCCCUCCAUCCUUCCCGGAAAGAUAUUUUUCUUAACUUGUCAACCAACAGGCUGUCGUUACCACUCAAGGACCCACGUUAAACAACUUAUAUUGUAUACCUGCAUUCUCUUUCUUCUGUACUGACGUCAUUGUGGCAUAACGAGAAAGCAGACGGGGAGUUUCCCUAUCGCCGGCCGGCUUAUAAGUAGUUAAGGCUGGCUCUGCCCGCCACCUCACACUUCUGGAGGCUGUUUACCUGAGAGAGGAGAAAACCCGCUCGUCUCUCUCACCUCACCCCGCUCCUGUCCCAGAACCGUCUACAGCCCGGGAACGUAACCGAGCGGCCGGCCUGGAGCCCUACUCUCACACUGUCACCACAACCGCCCCACCUGGAGCUGACGGUAUCAUCUCUGUUACCUGUGCUCGCUUCUGGAGGAAGUCAAUCAUCGCCCAGCUUAGUCACCCUGUUGCGUCAUCCAGUCACGUGUGCGCCUGGCCGGGCGCCCGCUCCUGCAGGAGGCGUUGUUGGUGUCGGCUGGGCGACGCCCUUGACGGUAUACAUGGGGGGCUUCCCAUAAUGGUGUAUUAAUUAGUUUUCAUGACGUGUUGCAGUUUGGAUGUAUUCUACCACACACAUUUCCACCGUGACAAAUAAGUAUUCAUUUUGUCUUGUUCCCGCCAAAAUAUUGGCAUGGUGGUUAUUUUUACGUGACUUGUAAAUUAGUUUUACAAUUAAAAGUACAUAAUUUUUG